rnacentral:lncRNA from 1 species
UGUGUGUGUGUGUGCGCAUGCGUGUGUAUGUGUUUAUUUUAUUUUAACCAUCCAUACAUAAAGAGAGGUUCAUUUUUUAUAACACUUCCUUUCUCAUAAGCUUAUAUUUCCAUUUACUUAUUAAGAAAGGAAUUCUUGACAGGUGGAGGAGAUUAGUGACAGGAUAAGUGUUUUUUUGGGGCAGAAUAAAGAAUUUCACAUGGAGAUUACAAUAUUUAUGCCUCUGAGUGAAUGCAGUACUCCAGAUGUUGACUACAUUUCACUUAAAAACAACUGCUAGCUGUAGAUAUAAAAAGAAAACUCCCAGGAUGCCCUACCGAAGGUUGCGAGUCGCAUGGAACAUGCCAAAUCAGCCCGCCACAG